rnacentral:rRNA from 2 species
GAUGAACGCUGGCGGCGUGCCUAACACAUGCAAGUCGAACGGAGAUUAUUCGCUGCGGAGCCUUCGGGCGAAGCUUGAAUGAUCUUAGUGGCGGACGGGUGAGUAACGCGUGGGCAACCUGCCUUGCACAGGGGGAUAGCAGUUGGAAACGACUGGUAAUACCGCAUAUCUUAGAGAGACCGCAUGAUCUUUUUAAGAAAACGUUAGUGGUGCAAGAUGGGCCCGCGUCCGAUUAGAUAGUUGGUGGGGUAACGGCCUACCAAGUCGACGAUCGGUAGCCGACCUAAGAGGGCGGACGGCCACAUUGGGACUGAGACACGGCCCAGACUCCUACGGGAGGCAGCAGUGGGGAAUAUUGCACAAUGGAGGGAACUCUGAUGCAGCGACGCCUCGUGGGUGAAGAAGUAUUUCGGUAUGUAAAGCUCUAUCAGUAGGGAAGAUAAUGACGGUACCUACAUAAGAAGCCCCGGCUAAAUACGUGCCAGCAGCCGCGGUAAUACGUAUGGGGCAAGCGUUAUCCGGAUUUACUGGGUGUAAAGGGAGCGUAGGCGGCAGUACAAGUCGGGAGUGAAAACUCGGGGCUCAACCCCGAGACUGCUCUCGAAACUGUACAGCUAGAGUGCAGGAAGGGCAGGCGGAAUUCCUGGUGUAGCGGUGAAAUGCGUAGAUAUCAGGAGGGAACACCGGUGGCGAAGGCGGCCUGCUGGACUGUAACUGACGCUGAGGCUCGAAAGCGUGGGGAGCGAACAGG